rnacentral:rRNA from 1 species
UAUGGCUCAUUAUAACAGCUAAAAUUUACUUGAUUUUGACUUUUAUCCUACAUGGAUAACUGUGGUAAUUCUGGAGCUAAUACAUGCAUAAAAGAUAUAACAUUUAAUAUGUUAUAUUGCGUAUAUUAGUAUUAAAACCAAGCAUUCCUUCGG